rnacentral:pre_miRNA from 1 species
UGCGGGCUCCCCUCUCUAAUCCUUGCUACCUGGGUGAGAGUGCUGUCUGAAUGCAAUGCACCUGGGCAAGGAUUCUGAGAGUGAGAGCC